rnacentral:rRNA from 1 species
UACAGAGGGUGCAAGCGUUGUUCGGAAUUAUUGGGCGUAAAGGGCGCGUAGGCGGUGCGGUAAGUCUGUAGUGAAAUCUCUGGGCUCAACUCAGAGUCUGCUGCAGAAACUGCCGUGCUUGAGUGUGGGAGAGGUGAGUGGAAUUCCCGGUGUAGCAGUGAAAUGCGUAGAGAUCGGGAGGAACACCAGUGGCGAAGGCGGCCUUCUGGACCAAUACUGACGCUCAUGCACGAAAAGCGUGGGGGAGCAAACAGG